rnacentral:rRNA from 1 species
AGCGAACGCUGGCGGCAGGCCUAAAACAUGCAAGUCGAACGAACCCUUCGGGGUUAGUGGCGGACGGGUGAGUAACACGUGGGAACGUGCCCUUUGGUUCGGAACAACUCAGGGAAACUUGAGCUAAUACCGGAUGUGCCCUUCGGGGAAAGGAUUUAUCGCCAUUGGAGCGGCCCGCGUCUGAUUAGCUAGUUGGUGUGGUAACGGCGCACCAAGGCGACGAUCAGUAGCUGGUCUGAGAGGAUGAUCAGCCACAUUGGGACUGAGACACGGCCCAAACUCCUACGGGAGGCAGC